UUAAAAUACCGGUUCUCGUACAAUCACCGAAGUUAUGCAACAUCGUGCCUGCUCACAACUUAGAUGGGUUACCGCUUGGGAAUACGAGGUGUUGUAA